GUGGGGAAUAUUGGACAAUGGGCGCAAGCCUGAUCCAGCAAUGCCGCGUGCAGGAAGAAGGCCUUCGGGUUGUAAACUGCUUUUGUACGGAACGAAACGGUCCGGGUUAAUACCCUGGGCUAAUGACGGUACCGUAAGAAUAAGCACCGGCUAACUACGUGCCAGCAGCCGCGGUAAUACGUAGGGUGCAAGCGUUAAUCGGAAUUACUGGGCGUAAAGCGUGCGCAGGCGGUUUUGUAAGACAGAUGUGAAAUCCCCGGGCUCAACCUGGGAACUGCAUUUGUGACUGCAUGACUGGAGUGCGGCAGAGGGGGAUGGAAUUCCGCGUGUAGCAGUGAAAUGCGUAGAUAUGCGGAGGAACACCGAUGGCGAAGGCAAUCCCCUGGGCCUGCACUGACGCUCAUGCACGAAAGCGUGGGGAGCAAACAGGAUUAGAAACCCGAGUAGUCC
rnacentral:rRNA from 1 species